CCUACGGGCGGCAGCAGUGGGGGAUAUUGCACAAUGGGGGAAACCCUGAUGCAGCGACGCCGCGUGUGGGAAGACGGUCCUCUGGAUUGUAAACCACUGUCCCCAGGGACGAAGAUGACGGUACCUGGGGAGGAAGCUCCGGCUAACUACGUGCCAGCAGCCGCGGUAAUACGUAGGGAGCGAGCGUUGUCCGGAAUUACUGGGGGUAACGGGAGCGUAGGCGGGACUGCAAGUUGGGUGUCAAAUCUACCGGCUCAACCGGUAGCCGCACUCAAAACUGCAGUUCUUGAGUGAAGUAGAGGCAGGCGGAAUUCCUAGUGUAGCGGUGAAAUGCGUAGAUAUUAGGAGGAACACCAGUGGCGAAGGCGGCCUGCUGGGCUUUUACUGACGCUGAGGCUCGAAAGUGUGGGGAGCAAACAGGAUUAGAUACCCCUGUAGUC
rnacentral:rRNA from 1 species